rnacentral:lncRNA from 13 species
GAAUACAAUACACUGUAGCCUUGUUUACAAAGGGACAUUGACCUUUUCCUUGGUGCUUUUGGGGGAGGAGUGAGAGUAAGAAAAGCUGUAAGCUAAUUUCUGUGUCUUGGUCUUGGAACUAAGGCCUGGUGGGAAGUUGGAAUGAUGGAAAGUGUUGCCAGAAACAUCUGAGAGGAAGGAAGUCAAAGAGGCACACAGGAGCCACAGAGAAGAGUGAAAGUCAGAAGUCAGUCCUUGGGAUGAAGAGUCUUAUCUAAAUCAGCUCCGGGUGAGAUCCAAGGCACUCUUCAUCCUGAAGCAAAUUACUCCCCAGCAAUGAGCCUGUGAAAUCCAACAAUGUGUGCUUCCAAAAUACAAUGAUGGGAUAGGCAUGGGAUAGACAUUCCCAUUCCAAAGGGAAGAAAUAUGCAGAAAGAAAGGAGUAAUAGCUCCCAGGUAAGUCCAAAAUAAAACAAGGCACACAACAUUAAAUUCA